rnacentral:rRNA from 1 species
GACGUAGGGCGCGAGCGUUGUCCGGAUUUAUUGGGCGUAAAGGGUUCGUAGGUGGCCACUUAAGUCAGACGUGAAAUCCCUCAGCUUAACUGGGGAACUGCGUCUGAUACUGAGUGGCUUGAGUGCAGGAGAGGAAUGCGGAAUUCCAGGUGUAGCGGUGAAAUGCGUAGAUAUCUGGAGGAACACCGGUGGCGAAGGCGGCAUUCUGGACUGUAACUGACACUGAGGAACGAAAGCCAGGGGAGCAAACGGG